CUUGGUUAACUCUUUAUGAACCAUAUGGAAUAAUUAGUUUCCGUAUCCCAGUAAGGAAAUACUGUUCACCUCUUACAGUGUAAGAGAGUAUGCUGUUUCUACCUGCCUUUUCGGAGAUGAGGCUAGAAAAUUCCUCCUAAGAUGUAUUUGCCAAAAAGCUAAGCUGAGACCUUCAUCUUCAAGCAACUACUAAUUUCCAAAAAAUGUUUGAUCUUUUUACUAGGCUUCCAGAAUGCAGCUUGUCAACAAGUUCAUCCUCCCAUACAUCUUGUGCGGAUUUCACUGUUACAGUCCGAAACCUGGAAAGAGCUAUGAUCUGGAACUAACUUGCAGAGGAAAGAAAACAACGCAUGAGGAAGACCGAGACAGACAAAACUGUUACGUGUGUAUAAAAUUAAGUUCCUGAUGGGUCAAGAUUGAAGACCAGAUAUCCUCACUAAACAUAUGUUUUAAUUAGGCUGGUAACCUACCUCUUACUUAAGGUACAUCUCUCAUUUCAUUCAUUUGCCACAUGAAUAAAGAGAAGACUGAAACCA
rnacentral:lncRNA from 1 species